rnacentral:misc_RNA from 1 species
ACCAUUUACAGAAACAGAGAGCUAUGGCAGGCGACCGGACGGUGGGGAUCGGGAUGGACUACUCGCCGACGAGCAAGGCGGCUGUCCGCUGGGCCAUCGACAACCUCGUCGACGCCGGCGACCGCAUCGUGCUGAUCCAUGUUCAGUCUGGGAAAUCCGACAGUGCCCAGAAGCAGCUAUGGGAGGACACUGGAUCCCCUUUGAUCCCGCUUGGUGAGUUUAAAGAAUUAAACUUAACAAAAAUAUAUGGGAUCAGUCCCGACCGGGAGGUCUUGGAGAUUCUUGACGCUGCAUCCAAGGAAAAGCAGGUAAAAGUUGUUGCGAAGAUAUAUUGGGGAGAUCCAAGGGAAAAACUUUGCAGUGCAGUGGAAGAUCUCAAGCUGGACUCCCUUGUUGUUGGGAGUAGGGG